UGCCUCUCAGGGUCGCACCUAGAGAGUUUCCAGUACCCUACCAGUCUCGGCUAUGGGUAGGGAGAGUCAAGCAGAGGCAUACCCAUUCCAUUCCUAGCUUGGCCAGUGGCUGGCAAGUGGAAGGCAAUCUGCUACAAGU
rnacentral:snoRNA from 1 species